GAUCCUGGCUUAGGAUGAACGCUGGCGGCGUGCUAACACAUGCAAGUCGAACGAAGCAUUGUGAUUGAUUCUCGGAUUGAUUUCACUUGACUUAGUGGCGGACGGGUGAGUAACGCGUGGGUAACCUGCCGUAUGCAGGGGGACAACAGUUAGAAAUGACUGCUAAUACCGCAUAACCCGCUAGUGCCGCAUGGCACAGACGGAAAAGAUUUUAUCGGCAUACGAUGGACCCGCGUCUGAUUAGGCUUGUUGGUGAGGUAACGGCCCACCAAGGCGACGAUCAGUAGCCGAACUGAGAGGUUGACCGGCCACAUUGGGACUGAGACACGGCCCAGACUCCUACGGGAGGCAGCAGUGGGGAAUAUUGCACAAUGGGGGAAACCCUGAUGCAGCCAACGCCGCGUGAGUGAUGACGUAUUUCGGUAUGUAAAGCUCUAUCAGCAGGGAAGAAAAUGACGGUACCUGACUAAGAAGCCCCGGCUAACUACGUGCCAGCAGCCGC
rnacentral:rRNA from 1 species